UACGUAGGGAGCAAGCGUUGUCCGGAAUCAUUGGGCGUAAAGCGCGUGUAGGCGGCCCGGUAAGUCCGCUGUGAAAGUCGGGGGCUCAACCCUCGAAUGCCGGUGGAUACUGUCGGGCUAGAGUGCGGGAGAGGCGAGUGGAAUUCCUGGUGUAGCGGUGAAAUGCGCAGAUAUCAGGAGGAACACCAAUUGCGAAGGCAGCUCGCUGGAACGUAACUGACGCUGAGGAGCGAAAGCGUGGGGAGCGAACAGG
rnacentral:rRNA from 1 species